CUCUGUCUCAGCAAUAGUGUAAGUAGAACUGAGGCUGGCACCUAGACUGUGGUGGGCUGAUUCAUAGAGGCUGGGUUGGACUGAAUGGAGAAGAGAUAAAACUGUGAGAAAGAGAGUGAAAAACAUGAAAAUCCAUGAGUCAAUAUGGACCAAACCUAGGGCAAAUGUGUGGAGGUUUCAGGAAGACACAUGUCAUCUCAUCAAAAAGAAGGACGUCAAGGUUUGUCUGAGCUGCACUGAGCCCCAUGGAGAGUGAAUCUUCUGCUUCCGGAAGUUUUCAAACAGGUUGCAAAAGACUGCAGGCUCAAGUACCCAGUUGAACCUGAGGAUCUGUCGGAUAUAUUCAGUAGAGAUAAGUCAUGUGGGCAGAUGGGGCUGCUAGGAGAAAUCGCAUGUUUCAUUGAUUUCAGGACCAGCCCAACAUUAGAAUUCUUUCUCUUGAACUGCACUGCUGGGAUACAAUUUAAGAGUACUCUCAUUUACCUGGUCUGCCUCUGUGAAACCUGCGUAAUGUAACUGAGAUCACCCGGAAUUUUUGUGAAGCCAACUGAAGAUUUUUAAGGGAAGGAGAAGAGAUUUCACGUCUGGUGAGAAUGUCCUUAGAGGAAUACCUUCGGUGGGCAUGACAGUUCCACCAGGGAGAAAAGUAAGCAUAACACUAAAGCAGCACUAGGAAAUGUGGAAGAGUGAUACCAGCAGAAGCAAAACAUUUCUGGAUGAUACAAAGCAGAUGGGAUCAGUCUGAGGAAAUAACCAAAUAGAACUGGAGCAGCAGUUGAUUUAUAAGAAGCAGUAACAGCAAAGGCAGAGCAAGAUGGCUGAAUAGACGCCCCCAGCAAUUGACCCCUGACAGAAACACCAAACUGAAAAACUAUCCACACAAAAAAGCACCUUCAUGAGAACCAAAAAUCAGAAAUCUCCAGACUGCUUUCCACAGUGACUGAUCUAAUUUACAUUCCCAUCAGCAAUGUGUGUCAGCUGAAAGCAUGGUACACCUUCCUGGGACUUGAUGGGAGGGGAGGACAAUGGAAGUAUGCAUAUGAUUCUAUUUCUUGCUGUCCUGUGAGUGAUAAAAUCUUUUUUCUCCUA